rnacentral:sRNA from 1 species
GCUUUGGUCUUCUCUCCAGACCCACUGCUGCUCUCAAAACAAGUGUAACUUCUAUGACAACAAAGACCCGGAAUGCGUGACCAAUCUUCAGGAAGUGGCCCGCAUCGUGGGCAACUCUGGCCUCAACAUCUACAAUCUCUAUGCCCCGUGUGCUGGAGGGGUGCCCAGCCAUUUUAGGUAUGAGAAGGACACUGUUGUGGUCCAGGAUUUGGGCAACAUCUUCACUCGCCUGCCACUCAAGCGGACGUGGCAUCAGGCACUGCUGCGCUCAGGGGAUAAAGUGCGCAUGGACCCCCCCUGCACCAACACAACAGCUGCUUCCACCUACCUCAACAACCCGUACGUGCGGAAGGCCCUCAACAUCCCGGAGCAGCUGCCACAAUGGGACAUGUGCAAGUGAGGUUCUGUGGCCACCUGUGACUUGGGGUGGCGGGUUGCUGGGGCUUGUGGGCAUCGGCAGGUUUCUCAGGGAUCUUCUGUGUAGAGUUUCUCAAUAAGAUGAGCUGUAGAGGA